rfam:Citrus clementina cultivar Clemenules unplaced genomic scaffold scaffold_9, whole genome shotgun sequence.
AUACCAUGAUGAGGACAUCUCCUGAGUAUCUCCUUAAAUCUCUCCCAUGCAUCACACAAGCUCUCAUCUUCAAGUUGAUAACUUUAAACUAGCCAU